rnacentral:lncRNA from 1 species
UGUACUACAGCUGCCUUGUCCAAUAAGGAGCCAUGGAAGUCAAAUGCUGAGGAUGGUGGCAUCAUAGGAUGAAUGGAGCUGGGUUCUUGAAACACUGCCUGGAGGAAAGACAGCAAAAAUGCCUCAUGAAUCCAACUGGACUGUUAGGAUGCUCACCCUUGGAGACCAGCAACAAUGUGUGCAGAAACCCAGGCCAUGUGGAGAGGCCCCACAUACGUGUCCAACUGAGGUCCCAGCUGACAGCUGGCAUUGACAUGUGAGUGAGACUCUGAACGUUCCAGCUGAUGACAAGUACAGUUUGAGCGAGC